rnacentral:rRNA from 1 species
UGGGGAAUUUUGGACAAUGGGCGAAAGCCUGAUCCAGCAAUGCCGCGUGUGUGAAGAAGGCCUUCGGGUUGUAAAGCACUUUUGUCCGGAAAGAAAUCCUUGGCUCUAAUACAGUCGGGGGAUGACGGUACCGGAAGAAUAAGCACCGGCUAACUACGUGCCAGCAGCCGCGGUAAUACGUAGGGUGCAAGCGUUAAUCGGAAUUACUGGGCGUAAAGCGUGCGCAGGCGGUUUGCUAAGACCGAUGUGAAAUCCCCGGGCUCAACCUGGGAACUGCAUUGGUGACUGGCAGGCUAGAGUAUGGCAGAGGGGGGUAGAAUUCCACGUGUAGCAGUGAAAUGCGUAGAGAUGUGGAGGAAUACCGAUGGCGAAGGCAGCCCCCUGGGCCAAUACUGACGCUCAUGCACGAAAGCGUGGGGAGCAAACAGGAUUAGAUACCCUGGUAGUCCACGCCCUAAACGAUGUCAACUAGUUGUGGGGAUUCAUUUCCUAGUAACGUAGCUAACGCGUGAAGUUGACCGCCUGGGGAGUACGGUCGCAAGAUUAAAACUUAAAUGAAUUGACGGGGUCAUAGCUGUUUCCU